AAGUCCAGCAGGAGCAAUGAAAAUGCCAGUUGACCCACCCUGAAAAUGUACAAGUUAAAUAUAAUCACUGCACAAGUACAAAGACACUUGCAUGAUAAACCUGGUUUAUUUCCAUUUCAGGUGAUGCAUUGCACAGAGAUAACCCUGAAGUACCCAGCACCUAUGAAGUAUACAGAGGUACAUGCUGUGCUGUAGCUGUCAUCAAGAUGCCCAGCUGUUUGUUAAAAUAGCCCCACAUAUUUUAAUGAAGGCCAAGGCAAGUGCUGAAAUGCAUUCAUAUUUUUGCCAUUAAAGCAUGAAGCUGAUUUAUGUGUCAUAAAUUUGACAGAGAAAUGUCAUAAAUGGUACAGUGGUGAUUUAUUUGUUCAUGCUCAUCUUUUCGAUUUCCUGUUUCAAAUAAUCGGAGACGCAUUCCAUGUGUGUGUGGGGGUGUGGGGGGUGAGAUUAUUGAGAACAGUCAGGAUCAAACCCCACCCCUACCCCAUAUUUCCCACUACGUUUCUGAAGUUCUCCCUUUUAGACCAUUUAUCCACAACAUAUAAAGGUCAGCCCUACUGCUGAAGUAAUUCACAUGGUUUUCCAGAUCUCACCCAUGCCGAUGAGUUAAGGUGAUUUAAAGUGCCUAUAGCAUUUCUGUUACUUCCAGUGUGGUACAUGGGUAAAUUGG
rnacentral:lncRNA from 1 species